GGCAGCACNGGGGAAUAUUGGGCAAAGGGGGCAAACNUGAUCCAGCAAUACCGCGUGUGUGAAGAAGGCCUGCGGGUUGUAAAACACUUUUGGUAGGGAGGAAAAAAUGUGGGCUAAUAUCGUUCAGUCUUGACUUAACCUAAAGAAGAAGCACCGGGUAAAUCCGUGCCAGCAGCCGCGGUAAUACGGAGGGGGCAAGCGUUUAUUGGAAUUUUUGGGGGUAAAGCGGGCGUAGGGGGUUAUGUAAGUGUCAUGGGAAAACUCCGGGGUUUACCCGGGAAAAGCAUUUGAUAUUGCACGGAUAGAGUUUUGUAGAGGGUAGAGGAAUUCCCCGGGUAGCGGGGAAAAGUGUAGAUAUAUGGAGGAACAUCACAGGGGAAGGGGGGGGGUUGGACCAAAAAAGACGCUGAGGGGCGAAAGAGUGGGGAGCAAACACGAUUAGAUACCCCGG
rnacentral:rRNA from 1 species